rfam:Camelus ferus unplaced genomic scaffold scaffold803, whole genome shotgun sequence.
GAGGGUAUAGCUCAGUGGUAGAGCAUGUGCUUAGCAUGCAUGAGGUCCUGGGUUCAAUCCCCAAUACCUCCA